AUACGGAGGAUGCGAGCGUUAUCCGGAUUUAUUGGGUUUAAAGGGAGCGUAGGUGGGAUAUUAAGUCAGCUGUGAAAGUUUGGGGCUCAACCUUAAAAUUGCAGUUGAUACUGGUUUCCUUGAGUACGGUACAGGUGGGCGGAAUUCGUGGUGUAGCGGUGAAAUGCUUAGAUAUCACGAAGAACUCCGAUCGCGAAGGCAGCUCACCGGGCCGGAAUUGACACUGAUGCUCGAAAGUGCGGGUAUCAAACAGGAUUAGAUACCCUGGUAGUCCGCACAGUAAACGAUGAAUACUCGCUGUUUGCGAUACACGGUAAGCGGCCAAGCGAAAGCGUUAAGUAUUCCACCUGGGGAGUACGCCGGCAACGGUGAAACUUAAAGGAAUUGACGGGG
rnacentral:rRNA from 1 species